rnacentral:rRNA from 2 species
ACAGUGUCUGGUGGGUAGUUUGACUGGGGCGGUCUCCUCCCAAAGAGUAACGGAGGAGCACGAAGGUUGGCUAAUCCUGGUCGGACAUCAGGAGGUUAGUGCAAUGGCAUAAGCCAGCUUGACUGCGAGCGUGACGGCGCGAGCAGGUGCGAAAGCAGGUCAUAGUGAUCCGGUGGUUCUGAAUGGAAGGGCCAUCGCUCAACGGAUAAAAGGUACUCCGGGGAUAACAGGCUGAUACCGCCCAAGAGUUCAUAUCGACGGCGGUGUUUGGCACCUCGAUGUCGGCUCAUCACAUCCUGGGGCUGAAGUAGGUCCCAAGGGUAUGGCUGUUCGCCAUUUAAAGUGGUACGCGAGCUGGGUUUAGAACGUCGUGAGACAGUUCGGUCCCUAUCUGCCGUGGGCGCUGGAGAAUUGAGGGGGGCUGCUCCUAGUACGAGAGGACCGGAGUGGACGCAUCACUGGUGUUCGGGUUGUCAUGCCAAUGGCACUGCCCGGUAGCUAAAUGCGGAAGAGAUAAGUGCUGAAAGCAUCUAAGCACGAAACUUGCCCC